GAUGAACGCUGGCGGCGUGCUUAACACAUGCAAGUCGAGCGAGAAAAGUUUUUCGGAGCUUUUCUAGCGGCGGACGGGUGAGUAACACGUGGGCAACCUGCCUCAUAGAGGGGAAUAGCCUUCCGAAAGGAAGAUUAAUACCGCAUAAUAUUGUUGAAAGGCAUCUUUUAACAAUCAAAGGAGCAAUCCGCUAUGAGAUGGGCCCGCGGCGCAUUAGCUAGUUGGUGAGGUAACGGCUCACCAAGGCGACGAUGCGUAGCCGACCUGAGAGGGUGAUCGGCCACAUUGGAACUGAGACACGGCCCAAACUCCUACGGGAGGCAGCAGUGGGGAAUAUUGCACAAUGGGGGAAACCCUGAUGCAGCAACGCCGCGUGAGUGAUGAAGGUAUUCGGAUUGUAAAGCUCUGUCUUUAGGGACGAUAAUGACGGUACCUAAGGAGGAAGCCACGGC
rnacentral:rRNA from 1 species